rnacentral:rRNA from 1 species
UACGUAGGGUGCAAGCGUUGUCCGGAAUUAUUGGGCGUAAAGAGCUUGUAGGCGGUUUGUCGCGUCUGCUGUGAAAUUUCGGGGCUCAACCCCGAACUUGCAGUGGGUACGGGCAGACUAGAGUGUGGUAGGGGAGACUGGAAUUCCUGGUGUAGCGGUGAAAUGCGCAGAUAUCAGGAGGAACACCUAUUGCGAAGGCAGCUCGCUGGGACGUUACUGACACUAAGGCGCGAAAGCGUGGGGAGCGAACAGG